rnacentral:lncRNA from 1 species
AGAAGACAUGCUUCCGUUUCCAGGAUGGUUGUGUUUUCCAGAGAGGCGUAGGUAAACCAUUGGCACAGCCCUGCCUCCCACAGAUAAUUCCGGGUGCAGUGUUUCAUAUCUAGACUUGGACUUCUGUCCUACAUACUUCUUUGUGUGCAGUUCAUUGUGGAACCAGCACAGAUUUCCAUAUGAAAGUUAUUUUUUUUAACCUCCAAAAGUGACAGAAUGGAGUGUAUCAUGGAAAAAUCUGACAUCAAAACCUCAAAAUGUGAUAUUGAUUGGGUGAGAUAGAAUUCCAUGGAAUUUCAUUGCCAAACCAGUGAAGUGCUAAUUUUGACAUUUGUACCAGCUGAUGUAGCUGUGAAGAAGCACAUCAAUACCACUUCUAAGGACAGCAUAGACCAAGAACUGGGUUUCAUAUGGAUGAAUUUAUUCUUCCUUUGAGGCAAGACAAGAAGGAAAGAAAGUAUUGGGACUAAUGCCAUCCUCAAGGGCCAGU